rnacentral:rRNA from 1 species
GCCCCAGACUCCUACGGGAGGCAGCAGUGAGGAAUAUUGGUCAAUGGUCGGGAGACUGAACCAGCCAAGCCGCGUGAGGGAUGAAGGUACAGAGUAUCGUAAACCUCUUUUGUCAGGGAACAAAGGCGGGGACGUGUCCCCGGAUGAGUGUACCUGAAGAAAAAGCAUCGGCUAACUCCGUGCCAGCAGCCGCGGUAAUACGGAGGAUGCGAGCGUUAUCCGGAUUUAUUGGGUUUAAAGGGUGCGUAGGCGGGCUGUUAAGUCAGGGGACAAAUGUGGGGGCUCACCCCCGGCCUGCCGUUGAAACUGGCGGCCUCGAGUGGGCGAGAAGUAUGCGGAAUGCGUGGUAUAGCGGUGAAAUGCAUAGAUAUCACGCAGAACUCCGAUUGCGAAGGCAGCAUGCCGGCUCCACACUGACGCUGAGGCACGAAAGCGUGGGUAUCGAACAGGAUUAGAUACCCUGGUA